rnacentral:rRNA from 1 species
AUGAACGCUGGCGGCGUGCCUAAUACAUGCAAGUCGAGCGAACAGACGAGGAGCUUGCUCCUCUGACGUUAGCGGCGGACGGGUGAGUAACACGUGGAUAACCUACCUAUAAGACUGGGAUAACUUCGGGAAACCGGAGCUAAUACCGGAUAAUAUAUUGAACCGCAUGGUUCAAUAGUGAAAGACGGUUUUGCUGUCACUUAUAGAUGGAUCCGCGCCGCAUUAGCUAGUUGGUAAGGUAACGGCUUACCAAGGCAACGAUGCGUAGCCGACCUGAGAGGGUGAUCGGCCACACUGGAACUGAGACACGGUCCAGACUCCUACGGGAGGCAGCAGUAGGGAAUCUUCCGCAAUGGGCGAAAGCUUGACGGAGCAACGCCGCGUGAGUGAUGAAGGUCUUCGGAUCGUAAAACUCUGUUAUUAGAGAAGAACAAAUGUGUAAGUAACUAUGCACGUCUUGACGGUACCUAAUCAGAAAGCCACGGCUAACUACGUG